UUCUGUUUCCACAGCUAGCAGCAGCUGAAGUCAGUGGCAUUCACAUAGGUCCCUACAUUGAGAUCAGCUGACCAAAAACUAUCUAUUGAUCUAUUUUCCAAUUUUAAUAGCUGCCACCUCCCAAAAAAUCAUCUCCAAAGCAUGGAUGGGCUCAGAGGAUGCCCUGCCUUCCUGGAGAACCAGCUUUCAUAUCUAAGGAGUUGAGCCUCUAGAGUCUAGAGAUGUAUUAAAGUGGAAGCCAAUAGUCUGCCAGGAGGGA